rnacentral:piRNA from 1 species
GGGAACUCAGAAGGAGGAGGCUG